ensembl:lncRNA
CUCCCACCUCCCCUGCCAGUACUUCCUGGGAUCACUUUCCAGAUAAAUGUCUGGCAUUUGAAUCCGAGGCUUGGGUCUGCUUGCAAGGAAACCCCAACUAAGACAACACCUAAUGUGCAACGUGUGUCGAGCGCUUUAUGCCAAGCUCUGUGUUCAACACUUCACACGGCUUGACUCAUUCCAUCCUAUGACAGGCAGGGCUCUGAGGUAGGGACCGUUAUUGUCUCCAUUUCGCGGAUGCAGAAACUGACUCAGAGCUGGGGCUUGAAGCCAAUCGACUCCUCCCUGACCCCAUCCUCCAGCUGGCCUGAAUUGCUUUCAGUUCCUCAAACUGCUCUGCUCACUCUCCUCCUUCCCUCUGCCUUCUGAGGCACAGGGAAGAUAAGUCACUUGGUCACAGCAAGUUAGAACCACUUGGACUCAAGAGGAGACCUCCAGGCUGGAAGCCCUUACACUUCACCCUUGUGACAAAAGAUGAUGUGAUGACAAAGCAGAACAGAAAGAAACUUGAAGAUGCUACGCUGCUCCCUUUGGAGAUGGAAGACAGAGUCUUGGACCAGGAGAUGCAGGAAAAGGCGAGGAAACAUUCUCCCCUGGAGCCUCUAAAAGGAACCAGCACCUUGACUCUAGCCCAGGGAAACUGACUUUGGAUUUCUGGCCUCCAAAACUGAAAGAGAACACAUUGGUGUUGAGCUAAGCCACUGCAUUUAUGGUGGUUUGUUACAGCAGCCACAGGAAAUGAAUGUAAUACUGAAUCAGUUCAUCCCCGACCAUCGGCUCAAUAGCUGUGGUUCAGGACAGCUGACACCUGGCGGGCGCUUCACCAAGCCCUGGGCCAACUGCAACCCAUCCCUGGGGACGCCUGGGGCCGGGAGCACAGAGAAGGAUCAGGGAAGACCCCCUGGGCUUGAGUGCACUUCAGCAUAGGCUGGGAGGAAAGGGCAAGGAAUGCUGCCGAACAAGGAGCAAGCGAGUGCAGACGCCAGGAGCGUCCCCCACCCGCAACCUGAUGGUGUUUUCCUCACUGGGUUCUGUGAGGUGUGAGUGCAUCUACAGCAGUUGGAACAGUGUCUGGCAGAGGAACUGUAAGUCUGUCAUUGACGCCCACCCCUAUCAACAGCAAGGUGCCUUCUUUCUCUUUUAUUGGGAAGCAGCAUGGGAUGAAGAUUUUCUGGAUACUGACGUGAUGAUGAACAUGAUGACAGCUACCGCUCCCUGAUCACCUGCUGUGCUCAGUCCUCAUUACCUACCCGAUUUUUACACACAGAACCAGACUGAGACAUAGAAGUGCUCCUGCUGCUGCUGCUGCUAAGUCGCUUCAGUUGUGUCCGACUCUGUGUGACCCCAUAGACGGCAGCCCACCAGGCUCCCCCGUCCCUGGGAUUCUCCAAGCAAGAACACUGGAGUGGGUUGCCAUUUCCUUCUCCAAUGCAGGAAAGUGAAAAGUGAAAGUGAAGUCUCUCAGUUGUGUCUGACUCUUCACAACCCCAUGGACUGCAGCCUAGCAGGCUCCUCCAUCCAUGGGAUUUUCCAGGCAAGAGUACUGGAGUGGGGUGCCAUUGCCUUCUCCAAGAAGUGCUCCAGGCAGGCUAAUAAUCUGGGAUCCCCUCAACUUGAUAUUUUAAAAAGUGUUUCAGAGUGGUUCAAGGAUGUGGAGAAACUGACAUUUCUGUUCAUAAAAUAGAUAAUUUCUUUUUUUAGAAACAAAAAAUUUUAUUACAUAUACAGAAUAAACUGUUGUCUUUUCCUUGGAAUUUUCCUGAAAUUGCAGUUGUCCAGGCAGUUUUCUGGGAGCUAAAGGGCAUAUGGUUCAGGUGACGAGUGUUGUGUGCUCAGCCGUGUCUGACUCUUUGCCACCCCAUGGACUGCAGCCCGUCAGGCACCUCUGUCCAUGGGCUUCUCCAGGCAAGAAUACUGGAGUGGGUUGUCAUUCCCUUCUCCAGUGGAUCUUCCCGACCCAGGGAUUGAACCCUCCUGUGGCUCCGGCACUGGCAGGUGGUUCUUUACCACUGAGCCACCUGGGAAGCCCAAGAUUCAGGUGAUGAAUAAACAAACCAGCAUGCAGCUCUGACCGGGACCAAGCUGACAGACCAAGGCUCUGAGAGAGCCGUCGCCUAGCUGGACUCUGGCGUGGUGGUGCCAAGGACGGGAAUGUUCUAGUUUCCUCCAGAGGAGGCUAUUUCCCUCUGAGCGUCGGUUAAGUCUCAGUGAGCGUGAACACUCAAGUUAACCAGCACUGUGUUUUGAUCUAGACCAGUGCUAUUUGGGUUCCCCUUCUAGUCUUGCACCCUAAUAGGCUGCCUGGCUGAUCAGUUCUGUGCAUAUAUUCACAUGUAUUAGUUCUACCUUCAUUUAAAAAAAAAUGUGUACACAAAUUGAAUCAUAUAAAGUCACAUUGAUCUGUAACUUGCUUUUCUUUUUCCCCACAUUACAAUAAAUUCUGAGAUCCUUUCACAUCAGCCUAUGUGUAGAUCCAUCACAUUCUUGUGUUAAAAAAAAAGAAAAAAGUACCAAGGUGGUCCACCAGAUGGAUGUACUGUAAUGUGGGACUUAGCAACUUUAAUGAGCACAUGAAUUGCCUCGGGGACCUUGUUAAAUUGCAGCUUCAGAUUCGGCAGGUCCAAGGUGGCACCUGGUGCCGUGGGAGCUGCUGGCAGGAUCACACCACGUGACCUCUACCCACAAGCGAGGGACACUUGGCUGUUAGAGACAGUGUGCUGCAGGAAACAGGCUUGACUAUCUGAAAGGAGUCCUAGAGAACAGGCUUGAGAGUCAGAAGACAUAGUGUUGAACUCUGACCCUGACACUAACCAUGUGACCUUAAGCAGGUCACAACCUUUCUGAGUGGCCAGUGACUCCCUCCUCCCCCAGCAAUUCAGUAAGUGGUCACAAAGGCCUC